UCUGUUACCUGGCAGGGGAGAUACCAUGAUCACGAAGGUGGUUUUCUCAGGGCGAGGCUUAUCCAUUGUACUCCGGAUGUGCUGACCCCUGCGAUUUCCCCAAAUGUUUGUGGUGUGGGGGACUGCAUUCAUGCUUUCUCCUG
rnacentral:snRNA from 1 species